rnacentral:lncRNA from 11 species
AUGGAAAAAAACAUCUUUCAGAGUCUUCUAUAUAUAUAUUUAAUCAGUUUGCUUUGUUCUUUACAGGUACCUUUCUUCCCAUUGCCCCUGUGCUACCUCUACCGGGUCGAAAAACAGCAACCUCACUCUGGUUAAAAAGCUGUCUCUGACGCUUGCAAAGGUUCUCAGUGAUUCCCAAAGUGGGCGCUACCACCCCCUGGUGGACGCUGCAGCAAUCCAGGGGAGCAGUGAUGGCCACAGCAUACAAUGCAAGAAACAAGAAACCAGAAAGCAAGGAAGUGGUUGAGUUCCAACAAAAGCACCAUUCAUCACUAAAAGUUGGGUUUGUUUUCCCCACAAGCAAGACAGGCUGUCUUUUUAAAAAAAGUAAAGACAACUGAUCAGAACUUUUCAAACAUUUCAUGUUGGUGAUGCACUUUUUAGAUAUGCAUCAUUUUGCAACACAGUAAUUCAGUUUUCAUAGCAAAUUGGAGGUUAAACCAACUGCUUAUAGGAGAUACAGACACAUACAUAAAUUGCAAUACUGAAAUGUAUGGGCACAACAUGUGUUAUAAAACAUUUUCUUUAUAUUUUAAAAAUAUAUGAUUGAUAAAAUAAUAACACAUUUCCAAGAUUUCUGUCACUUCUUGCUAUGUUUGUGCAACACAUUUACACACCACUCAGAUGUGAGCCAGUGAAUCAAACUGCAAGAGAAGAGAUUCCACCUAAAACAUUAGGGAAAAAACUCGUAACCAUACAGAGCUGUUCAACUGUGGGACCUACUAUUCAGAAGGUUUAGAUUCUCCUUCUUUGGGGGUCUUUUAAUAGAAGUUAAAUUGAUGUCUUUUGGGAAUGAUUUCAACUUGCAGUGGAUUAGACAAGAUGGCUUUGCUGUAUCUUCUGACUUUAUUAUCCUGUGAUUCUGACUCAAGAAACUCUAGUUCCCUUUCUGAGAACUGAGUUUAUUCGAUCUCCAAAUAUUUACUUGCACGGCUAAAUGUAUGAUCUUUAUUCCCACCGAGGAAGCGUGCAGUGCUGGCCCAUAGCCCUGAGGUCCUAAUCCGGUAGUGGAUGCUGCCAUCUCUUACAUUGUAGAUAUUGAUGAUAUUUUGCCCAUUCCCAGAAGCAAAAGUCACCACCUGCCCACCACAAUCC